CUAGCUAAUCUCACUCUCAGACAAAAAUGGCAUACUCCUAGAAGAAAUGUUCAAAUAAACGACAUAGUGAUCGUCAAAGAAGAGGACAUACCCAGAAAUCGAUGGAGAAUCGCUAAAGUUCUUGAUGUCCAGAAAGACAAUGAUGGAUUGGUGAGAAGAGUGAAAUUACAGAUGGGAGAUUCUAAAUUAAGUAAGAGAGGAGAACGUCUCACCACUCCACUCAUUCUAGAACGUCCUAUCCAAAAAUUGGUUGUUCUUAUCGAGAAUAAUAAAGAACAUUCUCAAAUGCAUAACAAGAAGGAAGAAGUAAAAUCACCUUAAUUUAUGCAACCCAAUUUAACAAUGAAUGCAUAAAUUAAAGGUAAUUUGGUGGGAGUGUAGCUGCCCGCCCAAGCCAAUCUAACUUUGAACUGCAUAAUUCCUUGUGACUGUUAAUAAGAGAAGUUUAUAGCAACUUAGCGCUAGUUUGCAGUACAGAACAAUAUAUACCUCUAUACGCUCUGUUGUAUGGCAAGCAGAAAAGUUAUUCCUGCUGUUAAAGUUCAUUUGUGUGUAGAGUAACAGCCAGCUAAGCACAGGACAUUACAGGGUUAAUUUGAGUACUCCAGCCACCUGACAGUCUAGUCCAAUCAGAACCCAGCCUCACUCUGAGAUCUUCUAGAAUCUAGCCAGACAUGCCAGCAGCCAUCUUAGAGACAGAAUCUUCAGAGAGCAUGCCAGAGUAGAGAAACUGCCCUUAAGAUCCUAUGAGGCGAAAAUAGCCCUGAAGAAGUCAGUCUCCCAAAAAUGUUCUGCCCAUGUUGGUCUUGAUCCUGCCUCGAGAUGUUCCUUGGCCAAAGAGAUAUGUUUGCCUGCUUUACACAACUGCCAUUUGUCGACAAGCGCAAGAGUCCUUGAAUCUGCUCAGCAGAGCUGAUGUGUUUUGCAUGCAGGAAGAAAGGAAUUGGACAAUUAUUUUUGUCAUUGUAUAGUCCCAUAUUGAAAUGCUGCUAGUUUAAAGGAACAGUUCAGUGCAAAAAUAAAAACUGGGUAAAUAGAUAAGCUGUGCAAAAUAAAAAAUGUUUCUAAUAUAGUUAGUUAGCCAAAAAUUGUAUCUAUAAAGGGUAGAGUGACCGAAUGUCUAAUAUAACUGAACAUAACAUCACUUCCUGCUUUUCAGCUCUCUAAAUCUGAGUAAGUCACUGACUUGAAGG